GGGAGGGGGAAUGAUUCUCUCUUUUGUUGUUCUGCAUAUGAAUUUCCUGUAAAGUAAAUAGUCGGGCCAAUCAUUAUUGGCUUCAUCUAUGAUUCUAAAAGAUCCUGAAUUUAUUGUUUCUGUGAAGUUUGGUUAAAGUAAGGUCCUCAUAUGAUUAUCAGUGCACAAUUCUUCACUUAAAUUGUUCGGCGAUUUUUAAUUCAUAGGAAAUUAGAGAAAAUGGUAGGCACGUGUAACCUGUCCCCAAAAGUAGCAUUGUGUUUUCGAUAAGAUUU
rnacentral:lncRNA from 1 species